UACGUAGGGGGCAAGCGUUGUUCGGAAUCACUGGGCGUAAAGCGCACGCAGGCGGAUCGAUAAGUCGGGGGUGAAAGCCCGGGGCUCAACCUCGGAAUUGCCUUCGAUACUGUCGGUCUCGAGUCCAGGAGAGGUGAGUGGAAUUCCUAGUGUAGAGGUGAAAUUCGUAGAUAUUAGGAAGAACACCAGUGGCGAAGGCGGCUCACUGGCCCGGUACUGACGCUCAGGUGCGAAAGCGUGGGGAGCAAACAGG
rnacentral:rRNA from 1 species